rnacentral:rRNA from 1 species
UCCUGGCUCAGGAUGAACGCUAGCUACAGGCUUAACACAUGCAAGUCGAGGGGCAUCAUGACGAUAGCUUGCUAUGUGAUGGCGACCGGCGCACGGGUGAGUAACGCGUAUCCAACCUUCCCCUUAGUAGGGCAUAGCCCGGCGAAAGUCGGAUUAAUACCCUAUGUUAUUCGUAGAGGACAUCUGAAAUGAAUCAAAGAUUAAUCGCUAAGGGAUGGGGAUGCGUCCGAUUAGGUAGUCGGCGGGGUAACGGCCCACCGAGCCCUCGAUCGGUAGGGGUUCUGAGAGGAAGGUCCCCCACACUGGUACUGAGACACGGACCAGACUCCUACGGGAGGCAGCAGUGAGGAAUAUUGGUCAAUGGACGGGAGUCUGAACCAGCCAAGUAGCGUGCAGGAUGACGGCCCUAUGGGUUGUAAACUGCUUUUAUGCGGGGAUAAAGUCGCCCACGUGUGGGUGUUUGUAGGUACUGCAUGAAUAAGGACCGGCUAAUUCCGUGCCAGCCGCCGC